rnacentral:lncRNA from 1 species
CGAGCACUCAGUAAGAAAGGAUAGCUUUUCUCCCUUUUCUGCUUCGCUCCCAACUAAGAAUGCAGAGUCAGGGAGAUGGCGCAGAGACAAUGCUGCUGUCCAUUGAAGCCCUCCAAAGGUCGGAGAUUCGAUCACAGGACAGCCUGGCCUGGACCAAGUCAGGUUGAUAUGGCUAGGCGGCCUGCUGGCGAGAUAGUGGGAGUGGGCGGUCCGCCCCUCAGGACCUCUGACUUGGACAGAUGACUGGAUGACUCUCUGGGGCAGCAUUCACCGGAACUCAUAUGGAGGGGACUGCCUGAGAAACCAACCUGUGUGCCUGGGUGCCCGUCACCUGCGGUGCACUUGAAUGUCUUUCGAGAGCUUCGAGUUGCAUGCAUGGCGAGUUCCAGCACAGGUCAGGUUGAUAUGGCUAGGCGGCCUGCUGGCGAGAUAGUGGGAGUGGGCGGCCCGCCCCUCAGGACCUCUGACCUGGACAGAUGACUGGAUGACUCUCUGGGGCAGCAUUCACCGGAACUCAUAUGGAGAGGACUGCCUGAGAAACCAACCUGUGUGCCUGGGUCAGGUUGAUAUGGCUAGGCGGCCUGCUGGCGAGAUAGUGGGAGUGGGCGGUCCGCCCCUCAGGACCUCUGAUUUGGACAGAUGACUGGAUGACUCUCUGGGGCAGCAUUCACCGGAACUCAUAUGGAGGGGACUGCCUGAGAAACCAACCUGUGUGCCUGGGUCAGGUUGAUAUGGCUAGGCGGCCUGCUGGCGAGAUAGUGGGAGUGGGCGGUCCGCCCCUCAGGACCUCUGACUUGGACAGAUGACUGGAUGACUCUCUGGGGCAGCAUUCACCGGAACUCAUAUGGAGGGGGCUGCCUGAGAAACCAACCUGUGUGCCUGGGUCAGGUUGAUAUGGCUAGGCGGCCUGCUGGCGAGAUAGUGGGAGUGGGCGGUCCGCCCCUCAGGACCUCUGACUUGGACAGAUGACUGGAUGACUCUCUGGGGCAGCAUUCACCGGAACUCAUAUGGAGGGGGCUGCCUGAGAAACCAACCUGUGUGCCUGGGUCAGGUUGAUAUGGCUAGGCGGCCUGCUGGCGAGAUAGUGGGAGUGGGCGGUCCGCCCCUCAGGACCUCUGACUUGGACAGAUGACUGGAUGACUCUCUGGGGCAGCAUUCACCGGAACUCAUAUGGAGGGGGCUGCCUGAGAAACCAACCUGUGUGCCUGGGUCAGGUUGAUAUGGCUAGGCGGCCUGCUGGCGAGAUAGUGGGAGUGGGCGGUCCGCCCCUCAGGACCUCUGACUUGGACAGAUGACUGGAUGACUCUCUGGGGCAGCAUUCACCGGAACUCAUAUGGAGGGGGCUGCCUGAGAAACCAACCUGUGUGCCUGGCCCACCACCUACCAGAGGUAUUGGAAAAGAACGGAUACGGAGGAAGUGGACCCAUUUAGAGGUGAUUAUUUGGAGCAAAUCCCAUCUGCUUUGUCAGUUAUUGAGCAGUUCCGUUCAUAGGCUGGCAAUGGCAGCUUGAUCCACUCUCAAAGUCUUCAUGGAUACACCAGCAGUCCGUUCAGUAAAGUCCAGAUAGCAGCAGUUGCACGACCUAGCAGGAACAACCAGGCCUCAGCUGAAGACAGUAGUCUACAGGAGGCAUUGGACUAGCAUGAAUGUCAGGAGAAACUUACAGCUGUGCCUCUCUUAAGGAAGUGAAGAUCAGUGAAGACAGGAGACCAAAAGGCGUUUAGCUGUGCAAGCAAGCCAAGCCCUUCUCCCAGUCCCUCCAAACAUCACUAGUCCUCCACAGGACUUGUCUCACCAUGUGUUGCCUCAGCAAAACUCACCUUUACAAACACAGCUUUGAAGGCCAGUUUUUUGAGUUAAUAAUGUAAACAAAUGUUAUUCUACGACAAACGUAGAAUUCAAGAGAAAAAUGGAGUAAUGAGUAAACCAGACAUUAAAAAAGAUUCUAUAAAUGAUCGAAUUACCUUUAGGCUACUGCAGCUUAGGUAUAAUGUAAGGGGAGUAAUAAUCUACAAAUAAGCAAAUGAGCCAAGAUGACCAAGAUGGAAAUGGUUUGAUUAGGAAUUUGAUUAGGGAAGUUCUGCCAAGGCAGGGAUAGUUGGGGUGGACACCUUUAGUCCCAGCACUGGGGCUUUAUGCAUGCUAAGGACGAGCUCUAUUGCUGGGCCCCACGCUCUAGAGUCAAUGCUCUAAAAUACUGCACAAACUAAUUCUCAGACAUUAACUGCAGGAAGAAUGCUCUAAUCCUAGAUGAGUGUUUUCAAAACAAAACUUAGCAGCGAAGACCAAAAAAUACAGAAAAAGCACCCAAAACAGACGAAAUGCCAGUUCAUCAGGAAGCCAAAACUUGACAGAAAUAUCUCUCAAAUAACAUUUAAUCUCUCUCCCUUUGUUCUAAUCCUGUCCCCACCCAGCAACCACCUGAUGUGUAAUUUGGUUUUCUAAGUGACCAUAGCCAUCGGUCAGAGACACUAAGCUGGGCCCAAAUAAAAGAAGAAAAUAAAUAAGAAGU